rnacentral:misc_RNA from 1 species
GCACUAUUUAUUUUGUUAUACUGAAUAUCUUAAUUUUAAAGAAAACUUUGCUGCUUUUAUAUAGGAAUAACGUGAAUUCUACAGCGAACUGUACAUGCAUAAUUUUCGCACAUGUAACAAUUUGUAAUGUUACCCGUUGCUAUCGCUGAGGGAAAUAGAACGGAUUAUGAACUGCGUCUUAACCAUUCAGAUUUCAGUAUUUAACAUGAAAGUAUAACAAAAGCACAUAGUACAGACACCGCUGAUCAAGCAUAUCCUGGUUGUCAUUUUAUUUACUGUAUUCGUGUAAAGAAAACCUAAUGAUCUUCAUCCUUCAAUAUACUACAUUUAUGUAUUGGGUAUUUGUGUCAAGCUCUCUCUAAAAACAGUCCUAUGAUUCUGAAAUGUCUUAUUUGUUUAUCAAAAUUUCUAUGUAUUUCUUAGACAUGUAUUUGUAUAUAUGUUGAAAUAAAAUAUUUUCAAUUUG